AGUGAACGCUGGCGGUAGGCCUAACACAUGCAAGUCGAGCGGCAGCACAGUAAGAGCUUGCUCUUACGGGUGGCGAGUGGCGGACGGGUGAGGAAUACAUCGGAAUCUACUUUUUCGUGGGGGAUAACGUAGGGAAACUUACGCUAAUACAGCAUACGACCUACGGGUGAAAGCAGGGGAUCUUCGGACCUUGCGCGAUUGAAUGAGCCGAUGUCGGAUUAGCUAGUUGGCGGGGUAAAGGCCCACCAAGGCGACGAUCCGUAGCUGGUCUGAGAGGAUGAUCAGCCACACUGGAACUGAGACACGGUCCAGACUCCUACGGGAGGCAGCAGUGGGGAAUAUUGGACAAUGGGCGCAAGCCUGAUCCAGCCAUACCGCGUGGGUGAAGAAGGCCUUCGGGUUGUAAAGCCCUUUUGUUGGGAAAGAAAAGCAGCAGGUUAAUACCCCGCUGUUCUGACGGUACCCAAAGAAUAAGCACCGGCUAACUUCGUG
rnacentral:rRNA from 1 species